UAGGGAAUCUUCGGCAAUGGGGGGCAACCCCUGACCGAGCAACGCCGCGUGAGUGAAGAAGGUUUUCGGAUCGUAAAACUCUGUUGUAAGAGAAGAACGUGUGUGAGAGUGGAAAGUUCACACAGUGACGGUAACUUACCAGAAAGGGACGGCUAACUACGUGCCAG
rnacentral:rRNA from 1 species